UGCCGUCAAGCGGCCGUGCUCAGAGAACUUUUCUGUACUAAAAGGGAAACCAAAUUAUCCUAAAAAUAAGUUUGAAGCGUGCAGGUAUCUUUAUUUGAUGAGGUUAAACCCACUUUACUAAAGGGAUAUGUCUCUGUACGGAUACCAAUUUGCGUUUUUCGACCAGUAAUGAUAUUAGCUAAGAUCCACUAGCCAGGGCAAGAAGAAGCGAUGUAAAAAUCUUUCCUGCAACGUUAAACAGGUUUCAGUAAACCAAUGUUCACAAACAAACAAAUUAUAUUUUGUAACAAAGUUCGUUUAAAUUAAUUGAAUCUUCGGACUUGAAGCAAACAAUGUAAUAAAUUGAGAGCAGCGAACCUUAGGUAUACCUACUUAUGAAGUGACCUUUUCGAGUCGAUGUGGAUAAACUAAAAAUUGAAAUUAAAAUUAGAUCCUGAAGCAUGUAUUGGUGGCUGUUGUGUGUUUUCGAGAAAAUGAUUUGAUGACAUAUUCCAAUAUGAUAUGAUCAAAAAGUCUGAUAGUCAAAUGCGCUUUAUAAGUAGAUGGCGCUAGUGUGCAUAAAACAGCAUGAGGCAUGUAAAGACGUGAAAAAUAAGCAGAAAGCCUUGGUGAAGAUUUACUGUUGGAUCGUCAGCUUUCACAUGUCCGUAAUGCGAUAUCAUCUUACGAAGCUAGGACCAAUUUGCAGCGUGCAUUCGUGGACAAAGGACUUUGUCGUCGUCUGGGUUUGCUAAGUGUGUUAAGUGA